rnacentral:piRNA from 1 species
UNGGUGUGCACAGGGCUGAGGCCACAUCCCUC